rnacentral:tRNA from 1 species
GUCUUGUAUUCAAUUAUGAUUCUAUAUUGCAAAUAUAGGGGUGCAUUACUUGCUAAGGCUU